rnacentral:misc_RNA from 1 species
GUACCCUCAAGCUAUGCUUGGUGUUGGGUGUUUGUCCUCUCCUCUGCGUUUGGACUCGCCUUAAAGUAAUUGGCAGCCAGUGUAUUGGUCUUGAAGCGCAGCACAAUUUGCGAUUCUAGCUUUUAUUAUUGGCAUCCAUUAAGCCUCUAUAUCAC